rnacentral:piRNA from 1 species
UGCUAGUCUUGAAGGUAGAGAGGC